ensembl:lncRNA
AAAAAAAAAGAUUUAUUAAUUUUGUUUUUACAUCUGCCAGGUAGCACAAGACUAUUAACACUCUAACAGUCACUGAAUGUACAAUGAACAUACACAUUUAAAUAAUGGCAGGCACAACACUGGGAUAGAGCUGAGUUCUGUCCCCAGUGCCCAAGCAGUCAGAGAGGUCAUUUCAGGGCGGGGUUGGUGGGUUUUUUUGGGGUAGUGGAGAACAGAAACAAAACCACAACAGAAUCUGACCCAGAACACCACAGAAAAGCGUGAGCCCGAGCAGAGCCCACGGCCAUUCCCAUCUCUGAGCAGGCAGCAGUGCUGCAGAGUGAAGCUCCAGGAGGACGUUGUUUUAAAAGACAGAUCUCUGAGUGGCUCCGGUUAAAAAACAAUGAUAAAUCCCACGUUUGCCACGCUGCAGAAGUUGGAAAAAAUCCACGCAAACUGCUGUCUUUGUCUUCUUUCUUUUUAUUUCACAUUUGCAAAAUGAUUAAAGACAAAGUUUCAUCAUGUCCAAAGAUUUCAGGCUUUAAGACUUUAAAAAUGCUCCUGUAGAGCAGUAUCCAUUUGCAAUUAUUUGAUUUCCAGGUCUUCUACUUUCCUACUGCUCAUACCACAUGUUUGACUUGCGUUGUUAAUACAGCAGCCUGAAGGCAGACCCUUCCCUAAAAAAGGGCACUGUGAGGCAAAGCCAAUACAGAGAGCUUCUUUCUAUUCUCCCAUGCAAACACUGCAAUGGCCUCUUAUUCAAAAAGUGCUCAGCAACAUGAUUUCAAAUGAAUUAAGGGGAAUCACAGCUGCUUGGCUGCACUGCUAAAGUAGAUGAGCUCCCAAAUCCACCAAACCAAAAGACUCAUCGCUGCACUUGACUAAAUGGUAGCUCAGGUCUUCAACUACUUACCAAUCUCAUUAAUGCCCCAAUUAUUAGUUAAUGCCCCACUACUGUGGCUGCAAUAGGAGAAGUGAAAUCCCAGGCACAAAUUAAUCUACACUUUGGCAAAUCACUUCAAAGCUACCUUGAAACAGUUCUGGACUGGCCAGUAUUUUAAUCAGGAUUUCUCAUCAUGCACAGUCACUAUUUCCACACCAUGUUAAUAGAUAUGUUAUUUACCAAGGGGAGACAUGCUACAAGGCUUUGCCAGCAAGGAACAAGACAUCUGCUUUCCAAGUCUGAGUGUUAAGUUCUCUCACAUCUAAGAGCUUUGCCUCCCUAACACCUGGCACCACAGCCUGUAUACAUGUGUAACACUACUCACAUGAUUCAACUCCAUCUCAAUCUGUAGAAGUAAUUACACCAGAGUUC